rnacentral:tRNA from 2 species
GCCCAGGUGGUGGAAUGGUAGACACAAGGGACUUAAAAUCCCUCGGCCUUUUGGCUGUACCGGUUCAAGUCCGGUCCCGGGCACCA